CAAAUACCAUGCACAAUGUGCUAUUCCUGUGACAAUCCUUGUCAGCCUUUACCAUCGCCGCCUCCACCUGCUAUCCCUGAAUGUCCACCGCCUCCUCCCCCACCUUCUCCACCGCCACCUGCUAUCCCUGAAUGUCCACCGCCUGCUCCCCCACCUUCUCCACCGCCACCAGCUAUCCCCGAGUGUCCACCACCACCAGCUCCUAUUAAUGAGUGUCCUGCGUGUCCAACACCACCGACACCAUUUCCGCCUGUGCCCCCGCCUAAGCAGUCGUAUUGGCCGGCUGCUGGCUAUUUCUUUAAGGGACCACCAGGUGGUUACGGGAACAAUCCAGUGCCGUACUUCCCAUUUGACAAUAACAACCCACAACCUUCUUUCUCUUUCAAAUCC
rnacentral:lncRNA from 1 species